AAUCUGCCCUUUGAAAAGCUGAAAUCUAACGAGAAACAUUGUUUGUUCAAAUUACUUCACGAUACGAGUAUACCUUCUUAGGUGCUCAAGUUUACUGUCGCUUUUUGUGAUAUCAGUUAGUACCGGAAGUCUACUAAAUGUUUGUUUCGAAAACUACCUUUAUAACGUUUGAUUCAUUAAAUCACCUGGGAUUCCAAGACCGAUUCCAGAGUUCCGCCCUG